rnacentral:sRNA from 1 species
GCCGGGUGUGGUGAUGCAUACCUGUAGUCCCAGCUACUCAGGAGGCUGAGGUGGGAUGAUCGCUUGAGCCCAGGAAGUCACUGCAGUGAGCUGUGAUCUCGCCACUGCACUCCAGCCUGGGUGACAGAGCGAGACCUUGCCUCUA